rnacentral:lncRNA from 1 species
AUUUUAUUUAAGUUAGCAAUUGUAGUUCAACAGACUAACAAGGAAUAUUAAAACAUCUGAAAUGCAUAUCUGAUCAUGAUGUACGGAAUGUCUAUGAAUGGGGGUCUUGUGUUCAUGUUCUAUUGGGAAUCUGUCUUAUCUUGUCACCAAGUUGAAACUUGAGGAUUUUAACACCCACAUUUUUGUGACAAAAUAUCUAACAGUACUUAUCUAUUUACUAGCUGGUGUACUUGGUGUUUCAUGGGAAUUUCUGACCCCAUCAGGAGAUAUUAGUUUCUGGUUGGUGAAAUUUUCUGAUAGUUACAAAUGAUAUUAUACAACUAAAAUAUUCGAUAAAUAAGCGCUUUUGGUAAUGAG